rnacentral:rRNA from 1 species
UUAAGAUUUAAAAUUUAUAAACCUUAGUAGUAAUAGUUAAGAUCUUGAAACUAAAAGAAUUUGGCGGUAUUUUAGUCUAUUUAGAGGAAUCUGUCCCAUAAUCGAUAAUCCGCGUUUAAUUUUACUUGAUUUUUAAAAUUUGUAUACCGCCGUUUAUGAAAAUCUUUUUAGUGAAUUUUCGUAAACUUAAUUUUAAUAAUAUUUCAGGUCAAGGUGCAGUUUAUAUUCAAGGGGAGAUGGAUUACAAUAUUAUAAAUAUAAAUGAAUUAUGAAUUGUAAAUUUUAUAUGAAGGUGGAUUUAAUAGUAAUAUUUUGAAGAAUAAAAUUAUGAUUUUGGCUCUAAAAUGUGU